rnacentral:rRNA from 1 species
AUUGAACGCUGGCGGCAUGCUUUACACAUGCAAGUCGAACGGCAGCACGGGUGCUUGCACCUGGUGGCGAGUGGCGAACGGGUGAGUAAUGCACCGGAACGUAUCCAAUAAUGGGGGAUAACGCACCGAAAGGUGCGCUAACACCGCAUACGCUCCGAGGGGGAAAGCGGGGGACCGAAAGGCCUCGCGAUACUGGAACCGCCGAUGCCGGAUUAGCUAGUUGGCGAGGUAAAGGCGCACCAAGGCGACGAUCCGUAGCUGGUCUGAGAGGACGACCAGCCACACUGGGACUGAGACACGGCCCAGACUCCUACGGGAGGCAGCAGUGGGGAAUUUUGGACAAUGGGCGCAAGCCUGAUCCAGCCAUGCCGCGUGAGUGAAGAAGGCCUUCGGGUUGUAAAGCUCUUUCGCAAGGAAAGAAAACUCAUCUCCUAAUACGAGGUGAGGAUGACGGUACCUUGAUAAGAAGCACCGGCUAACUACGUGCCAGCCGCCGCAGUAA